rnacentral:rRNA from 1 species
UACGAAGGGGGCUAGCGUUGCUCGGAAUCACUGGGCGUAAAGGGUGCGUAGGCGGGUCUUUAAGUCAGGGGUGAAAUCCUGGAGCUCAACUCCAGAACUGCCUUUGAUACUGAAGAUCUUGAGUUCGGGAGAGGUGAGUGGAACUGCGAGUGUAGAGGUGAAAUUCGUAGAUAUUCGCAAGAACACCAGCGGCGAAGGCGGCUCACUGGCCCGAAACUGACGCUGAGGCACGAAAGCGUGGGGAGCAAACAGG